rnacentral:rRNA from 1 species
UAAGGAAUAUUGCUCAAUGGGAGAAAUCCUGAAGCAGCAACGCCGCGUGGAGGAUGAAGGGUCUAUGACUUGUAAACUCCUGUAAAGAAGGAAAAAAUUCCCAUUAGAUGGGAGAUGAUGGUACUUCUGGAGUAAGCCCCGGCUAACUACGUGCCAGCAGCCGCGGUAAUACGUAGGGGGCAAGCGUUGUCCGGAUUUACUGGGUGUAAAGGGCGCUCAGGCGGAUUUGUAAGUCAGAGGUGAAAUCUUACAGCUUAACUGUGAAACUGCCUUUGAUACUGCAAGCCUAGAGUAUGGAAGAGAGUGAUGGAAUAUCUGGUGUAGCAGUGAAAUGCGUAGAUAUCAGAUAGAACACCAAUGGCGAAGGCAGUCACUUGGUCCAUUACUGACGCUAAAGCACGAAAGCGUGGGUAGCAAACA